rnacentral:rRNA from 1 species
AGUGAACGCUGGCGGUAGGCCUAACACAUGCAAGUCGAACGGCAGCACAGUAAGAGCUUGCUCUUACGGGUUGCGAGUGGCGGACGUGUGAGGAAUACAUCGUACUCUACUUUUUCGUGGGGGAUAACGUAGGUAAACUUACGCUAAUACCGCAUACGACCUACGGGUGAAAGCAGGGGAUCUUCGGACCUUGCGCGAUUGAAUGCGCCGAUGUCGGAUUAGCUAGUUGGCGGGUUAAAGGCCCACCAAGGCGACGAUCCGUAGCUGGUCUGAGAGGAUGAUAGGCCGCACUGGAAGUGAGACACGGUCAAGACUCCUACGGGAGGCAGCAGUGGGGAAUAUUAGACAAUGGGCGCAAGCAUGAUCCAGCCAGACCGCGUGGGUGAAGAAGGCCUUCGGGUUGUAAAGACCUUUUGUUGGGAAAGAAAAGCAGCAGGUUAAUACCACGCUGUUCUGACGGUACCGAAAGAAUAAGCACCGGCUAACUUCGUG